GCCAAAGUGGCGGAAUUGGUAGACGCGCACGAUUCAAAAUCGUGUUCCUCACGGAGUGUGGGUUCGAUCCCCACCUUUGGUAC
rnacentral:tRNA from 1 species